AUAAAAGAUAACUACUGUAAAGAAUAUAGAGACUUAUGGAAGUUAGUUUACUUAUUGUCUUCCUUCUUUUUUGGCUUGCCUUUUGAUUUUCCUUU
rnacentral:ribozyme from 13 species